GGGUGCAUGGUCUAGGGGUAUGAUUUUCCCUUCGCAUUUACAUGUGUACUGGGAAAGGUCUCCGGUUCGAAUCCGGAUGUAUCCA